rnacentral:rRNA from 1 species
UACGUAGGGUGCGAGCGUUAAUCGGAAUUACUGGGCGUAAAGCGUGCGCAGGCUGACAUAUAAGUUAGAUGUGAAAUCCUUGAGCUUAACUUAAGAAUUGCAUUUAAUACUGUAUGUCUAGAGUCUAUCAGAGGGGGGUAGAAUUCCAAGUGUAGCAGUGAAAUGCGUAGAUAUUUGGAGGAAUACCGAUGGCGAAGGCAGCCCCCUGGGAUAAGACUGACGCUCAUGUACGAAAGCGUGGGUAGCAAACAGG